UACGUAGGGACCGAGCGUUGUCCGGAUUCAUUGGGCGUAAAGAGCUCGUAGGCGGCUGCUCAAGUCGAAUGUGAAAACUCGAGGCUCAACCUCGAGCCUGCAUUCGAUACUGGGCGGCCAGAGUCUGGUAGGGGGAUCUGGAAUUCCUGGUGUAGCGGUGGAAUGCGUAGAGAUGUGGAGGAACACCGGUGGCGAAGGCGGCCUUCUGGGCCUGUUCUGACGCUGAGGAGCGAAAGCGUGGGGAGCAAACAGG
rnacentral:rRNA from 1 species